GACGAACGCUGGCGGCGUGCCUAAUACAUGCAAGUCGAGCGAAUCUUUAAAAGCUUGCUUUUGAAGAUUAGCGGCGGACGGGUGAGUAACACGUGGGCAACCUGCCUGUAAGACUGGGAUAACUUCGGGAAACCGGAGCUAAUACCGGAUAAUCUAUCUCCUCGCAUGAGGGGGUGCUUAAAGACGGCGCAAGCUGUCACUUACAGAUGGGCCCGCGGCGCAUUAGCUAGUUGGUGAGGUAACGGCUCACCAAGGCGACGAUGCGUAGCCGACCUGGGAGGGUGAUCGGCCACACUGGGACUGAGACACGGCCCAGACUCCUACGGGAGGCAGCAGUAGGGAAUCUUCCGCAAUGGACGAAAGUCUGACGGAGCAACGCCGCGUGAGCGAAGAAGGCCUUCGGGUCGUAAAGCUCUGUUGUCAGGGAAGAACAAGUAUCGGAGUAACUGCCGGUACCUUGACGGUACCUAACCAGAAAGCCACGGCUAACUACGUGCCAGCCGCCGCGGUAA
rnacentral:rRNA from 1 species